rnacentral:snRNA from 1 species
AUACUUCCCUGGCAGGGGAGAUACCAUGAUCACGAAGGUGGUUUUCCCAGAGCAAGGCUUAUCCAUUGCACUCCGGAUGUGCUGACUCCUGCAAUUUCCCCAAAUGUGGGAAACUGCAUUAAA